CUUUGCUCCCGGAUGUUAGCGGCGGACGGGUGAGUAACACGUGGGUAACCUGCCUGUAAGACUGGGAUAACUCCGGGAAACCGGAGCUAAUACCGGAUAGUUCCUUGAACCGCAUGGUUCAAGGAUGAAAGACGGUUUCGGCUGUCACUUACAGAUGGACCCGCGGCGCAUUAGCUAGUUGGUGAGGUAACGGCUCACCAAGGCGACGAUGCGUAGCCGACCUGAGAGGGUGAUCGGCCACACUGGGACUGAGACACGGCCCAGACUCCUACGGGAGGCAGCAGUAGGGAAUCUUCCGCAAUGGACGAAAGUCUGACGGAGCAACGCCGCGUGAGUGAUGAAGGUUUUCGGAUCGUAAAGCUCUGUUGUUAGGGAAGAACAAGUGCAAGAGUAACUGCUUGCACCUUGACGGUACCUAACCAGAAAGCCACGGCUAACUACGUGCCAGCAGCCGCGGUAAUACGUAGGUGGCAAGCGUUGUCCGGAAUUAUUGGGCGUAAAGGGCUCGCAGGCGGUUUCUUAAGUCUGAUGUGAAAG
rnacentral:rRNA from 1 species